GUAAACAUACACAUACACACACACACACACACCUCUGUAGCUCGCUGAUGCAGUGUAAUUGGGGUAAUGGCUCAGUAAUCACGAGGUUGUCGGUUUAGAAGCAAGGCUGUUUGGGCCCUGGGCAAGAAGUCCAACAGAAACACGCACACACAAACACACAGCAGUCCUUACGCACUCUAAACACACAUCCACAAACACACACAGCUUUGAAUGAUGCCAGUUGUACUGUUUCAGACAUCCUAGUGUAGGGCUUCCCAAACUUUUUGGGCGAACAACCCCAAAUGGACAAUAUACAUUUUCUUUACCGCAAGCCUUGGCAUUUUGGCUCCUCCUUCAUUUUUAUUGUGACACUUCCUUCCAUCCAUCUAUUUGCUUUACCACUUAUCCUACACAAGGUUGUUGAGGAGCCUGGGGCCUAUCCCAGGGGACUCAGGGCAAAAGAUGGGGUGCCAACCCAUCGCAGGGCGCAAUCGUACACGCGUUCACGCACUACGGACAAUUUAGAGAUGCUAAUCAGCCUACAGCACGUUUCUUGGACUAGGGGAGGAAACCGGAGUACCCGGAGGAAACCCCCUAAAGCACGUGGAGAAUACGCCACACAGAGAGGAGGCAGGAAUACGGUCACGCUUGUAAAUCCAUAUUGAAUAAAUAUUUCAGCUAUGUCUUUAUGUAGCAGCUGUGUGUGUGUGUGUGUGUGUGCGUACGUGUGUGUGCAUGUGCGUGUGCUUGUAUUCGUGUGCACGAGAAAGAGGGUGGGGGUGGGGGGAACAGUGACCUUGUAAAGGAUGAAAACCGGGGUCUGGACUCCUCCUGUGGCAAAUGUCUCAUGCCUUAAUUUGAGCUGGCGGAAACCACACUGUCCCCUGGAGACACACACACACACACACACACAGAAGGAGACUCAGAGUCGCUGACACUGGUUUAAUCCUCAGCCAGUAGAAAUGCAUGGUCUGUGUCUAGGUCUCGACUCACAUUAGCUCUGUGUAUACAUAUGACGUAUGAGGUGAUACACACACACACACACAGUGCGUUUGUCUGAUAGGUCAAGUCCGAUCAUAAAAGCACACAUAUAUUCUGAAUGUUUCCUUCAUUCGGUGGGAAAUGGGAGUUAGAUCAGUCAUGGGAGGGAUUGAUAAAUAGAGAGAGAGAGAGAGAGAGAGAGAGAACUUUGGAUGGCUGCAUCUGUUACACUAAUGCCAUGUGUCACACAGCAGAUAUGCAAUAUCAUCUGAGGUUAAAAAAAAUGUGUUUUUGUUUCUUCUUUAAAUUUACCCUGCCAGUCAUAUCAUAGUCUUUCACUCUUUCUCUCUCUCUCUCUCUCUCUCUCUCUCUCUCUCUCUCUCUCUCACACACACACACACGUUCUUUCUCUCAGUCUCAAUUUAAAACAUGUCUUCUUAGCAUAUGACACAGGUGCAUUUGCUAUUGCCAAAGCUCAGGUGACUGAACAUGGAAUACUAAAAUGAAAAAGAUAAAAGAACAAGAAGAUGAAAAAGAUAAAAAGAACAACAAAAUGAAAAAGAUAAAAAAGAACAACAAAUUGAAAAAGAUAAAAAGAACAACAAAAAUGAAGUGUCAACAAAAGCUGGUCGCAUCGCUGCCUCACAGCUCCAGAGUCCCAGUUCAGUCCUGAGCUAAUCUCUGUGCCGAGUUUCACAUGUUCAGUGGGUUUCCUCUGGGUUCUCCAGUUUCCUCUCAUCUCACAAAAACAUGCUACAGUGAGGCGACACACGUCUGAGGCAACACAGCUGAUGCAAUGACGAGCGC
ensembl:lncRNA